rnacentral:rRNA from 1 species
CCGGGCUGAAGACUCUGCUUGACUAGCUGAGAGGAGGUGCGAUGGCCGUCGUCAGUUCGUACUGUGAAGCAUCCUGUUAAGUCAGGCAACGAGCGAGACCCACGCCAACAGUUGCCAGCAUGUCCUCCGGGAUGGUGGGGACACUGUUGGGACCGCCUCUGCUAAAGAGGAGGAAGGAAUGGGCAACGGUAGGUCAGCAUGCCCCGAAUUAUCCGGGCUACACGCGGGCUACAAUGGUCAGGACAAUGGGCAUCAACACCGAAAGGUGAAGGCAAUCUCUUAAACCUGUCCUUAGUUCGGAUUGUGGGCUGCAACUCGCCCACAUGAAGCUGGAAUCUGUAGUAAUCGCGUCUCAAAAUGGCGCGGUGAAUAUGUCCCUGCUCCUU